UAGGGGUUCUGAGAGGAUGAUCCCCCACACUGGUACUGAGACACGGACCAGACUCCUACGGGAGGCAGCAGUGAGGAAUAUUGGUCAAUGGGCGCAAGCCCGAACCAGCCAUCCCGCGUGAAGGAUGAAUGCCCUAUGGGUUGUAAACUUCUUUUAUGUACCAAGAAUGGGCCCCACGUGUGGGGUUUUGACGGUAGUGCAUGAAUAAGCAUCGGCUAACUCCGUGCCAGCAGCCGCGGUAAUACGGAGGAUGCGAGCGUUAUCCGGAUUCAUUGGGUUUAAAGGGUGCGUAGGCGGUUUUUUAAGUCAGUGGUGAAAUCCUGCGGCUCAACCGUAGAACUGCCAUUGAUACUGAAAAACUUGAAUAUAGUUGAGGUAGGCGGAAUGAGUAGUGUAGCGGUGAAAUGCUUAGAUAUUAUUCAGAACACCGAUUGCGAAGGCAGCUUGCUAAGCUAUAAUUGACGCUGAGGCACGAAAGCGUGGGGAUCAAACAGGAUUAGAUACCCUGGUAGUCCACGC
rnacentral:rRNA from 1 species